rnacentral:rRNA from 1 species
UACAGGGGGUGCAAACGUUGCUCGGAAUCAUUGGGCGUAAAGCGCACGUAGGCGGUUCGUUAUGUCGGAUGUGAAAGCCCUUGGCUUAACCGAGGAAGUGCAUCCGAAACUGGCGAGCUAGAGUACGAAAGAGGAUCGCGGAAUUCCCGGUGUAGAGGUGAAAUUCGUAGAUAUCGGGAGGAACACCGGGUGGCGAAGGCGGCGAUCUGGGUCGAUACUGACGCUGAGGUGCGAAAGCGUGGGGAGCAAACGGGG